CUGCCUAUAAAAUCGGUAACUGCAUCCGUAUGCUAUUUUUUUACAAACAUCUCCAACAAUUUAAUUUUACAUUCUUAAUUUUUUCUAAAAUUUACAAAAACACGUCUCCAACAGUUUUUCAUUUUUUUGAAACUUGACAAAUUCCACAGAAGGCUUGACAUUUAUGCAAGUCCGUCUGGGACUUGGCAAACACCAAUCUGCCGCGUCCCUCUACAUCGCCAUGGCGCACGCGGGCCUCGCCACCGCGCUGCUCGUGCUCUACGGCCUCUACGUGUUGCUCGCCGACUUCCUCCGCCCGCUGCAGUGAGUGCUGCUCUGCUCCGUCUCGCUCCGCGAGACGCAGCGCGCGGUCGUCGCCUUUUGGGAGCUCCAGCACCGCACUCCUUGCGUUGCCGCUCGUGGACGCGCGCGCCGCGCUCCUGCGCUGCCCGCUCCCAGACUCGCCGGUAUUCCUACGCCACCUCCACUGGCUCGUCUCCUUCUUCUUCUUCUUCGUCCUCUUCGAGCACUUGAACGCGAGCGGCGGCCGACUUUCUGAACGCGCGAAGAAAGCCCGGACCGAGACCGCGCGUGAAAACUUUCGGCAGUUGGAUCCAUAUUUUAGUAAAUGGUAAGUCAGAUUUGAAAAACUCUUGGAGAUGUCUUAUUUUUCUCCUUCUCAUUUGCUUUUCAGAGUUGACAAACUCCAACAAAUGGCAAAGAAAAAAAUGUCAAACUGUUGGAGAUGCUCAGUGUAUCUGAUAUGAGGCAUCAGAUCACAAGGAUUGGAUUGAUGCCUCCCAAGCUAGCUUAAAGAUCGGGACGGUACUCCAAACGGGUACCCACGGUACUUCUAUAGUUGUAAUUAAAUGAACUAAAUAAAAAAAGAUAAAAAAGGAAAUUACAUAUCCGCGGAUAUAUGCUCACGCCCAGGCAGUCAUCCUGGCCCGAGGCACUCG
rnacentral:lncRNA from 1 species